rnacentral:rRNA from 1 species
UACGAAGGGUGCAAGCGUUAACCGGAAUUACUGGGCGUAAAGCGUGCGUAGGCGGUUUCUUAAGUCUGCUGUGAAAGCCCCGGGCUCAACCUGGGAGGUGCGAUGGAAACUGGCAGGCUCGAGUGUGGUAGAGGGUAGUGGAAUUUCCGGUGUAGCAGUGAAAUGCGUAGAGAUCGGAAGGAACACCAGUGGCGAAGGCGGCUACCUGGACCAACACUGACGCUGAGGUGCGAAAGCGUGGGGAGCAAAC